rnacentral:rRNA from 1 species
UACGGAGGGAGCAAGCGUUGUUCGGAUUUACUGGGCGUAAAGGGCGCGUAGGCGGUCAGCCCAAGUCAGUUGUGAAAUCUCCGGGCUUAACUCGGAAAGGUCAACUGAUACUGUGCGACUUGAGUCCGGAAGGGGCGAGUGGAAUUCCUGGUGUAGCGGUGAAAUGCGCAGAUAUCAGGAGGAACACCAAUGGCGAAGGCAGCUCGCUGGAACGGUACUGACGCUGAGGCGCGAAAGCGUGGGGAGCGAACAGG